AGCAGCCGCGGUAAUUCCAGCUCCAAUAGCGUAUAUUAAAGUUGUUGCAGUUAAAAAGCUCGUAGUUGAAUUUCGGGGUUAGUAGGUUGGUCAUGCCUCUGGUAUGUACUGGUCUCACUGAUUCCUCCUUCCUGAUGAGCCGUAAUGCCAUUAAUUUGGUGUUGCGGGGAAUUUGGACUGUUACUUUGAAAAAUUAGAGUGUUUAAAGCAAGCUAACGCUUGAAUACAUUAGCAUGGAAUAAUGAAAUAGGACGUUCGAUCCUAUUUUGUUGGUUUCUAGGAUUGACGUAAUGAUUAAUAGGGAUAGUUGGGGGCAUUAGUAUUCAAUUGUCAGAGGUGAAAUUCUUGGAUUUAUUGAAGACUAACUACUGCGAAAGCAUUUGCCAAGGAUGUUUUCAUUAAUCAAGAACGAAAGUUAGGGGAUCGAAGGCGAUCAGAUACCGUCGUAGUCUUAACCAUAAACUAUGCCGACUAGGGAUCGGAUGAUGUUAAUUUUUAUAGUACUCA
rnacentral:rRNA from 1 species